AUUGAACGCUGGCGGCAUGCUUUACACAUGCAAGUCGAACGGCAGCGCGGGCUUCGGCCUGGCGGCGAGUGGCGAACGGGUGAGUAAUACAUCGGAACGUGCCCAGUAGUGGGGGAUAGCUCGGCGAAAGCCGGAUUAAUACCGCAUACGACCUGAGGGUGAAAGCGGGGGAUCUUCGGACCUCGCGCUAUUGGAGCGGCCGAUGGCAGAUUAGCUAGUUGGUGGGGUAAAGGCCUACCAAGGCGACGAUCUGUAGCUGGUCUGAGAGGACGACCAGCCACACUGGGACUGAGACACGGCCCAGACUCCUACGGGAGGCAGCAGUGGGGAAUUUUGGACAUUGGGCGAAAGCCUGAUCCAGCAAUGCCGCGUGUGUGAUGAAGGCCUUCGGGUUGUAAAGCACUUUUGGCGGGAACGAAAAGGACUGUGCCAAUACCACGGUUCGAUGACGGUACCCGCAGAAUAAGCACCGGCUAACUACGUG
rnacentral:rRNA from 1 species